GGGCGGCGCGGGGGCCGAUGGGAUCGCGGCGGCCGGGCCCCCUCCCAGGGCGGGUGGCGGCGGGGUGCGGCUCGGCCCGCGGCAGCUGUGAAUUCUUGUAGAAGAUUGAUAGCUCUGCCAACAUUGUCCAGAGUAGAAGAUGGGUGGUUUAAUUUCAAGAUGGAGGCAGGCAAAGCCUUCCACUGUAGAGCUAUUAGAAAAAAUUAAUAAGGAAAUACAGACAUUAGAAGAAUUUAGAGAAAAAAAUCAAAGACUACAGAAACUAUGGGUUGGAAGACUGCUUCUCUACUCUUCACUUCUUUACCUUACCACCUGCAUGAUUGUGUAUUUCUGGUGUCUUCCGGAUGAGUGGUCAGCAAGGCUGAUGAUGACACUUCCGUUUUUUUCAUUUCCAUUGAUAAUCUGGUUUGUAAGAACACUGCUCAUUUUUUUCUUUUCCAAAAGGACAGAAAGGAAUAAUGAUGCGCUGGAAGAUCUAAAAUCUCAAAAGAAAAAAAUACUUGAAGAAGUAAUGGAGAAGGAAACGUACAAGACUGCUAAAUUAAUCCUAGAAAGGUUUGAUCCAGAAUCAAGUGCAAAGGAGGCUGAACUGCCAUCUGCUGGAACAUCUGCAACCUCGAGACCUGGACAAGAAAUUCGUCAGAGGACCACAGCUCAAAGAAAUGCUUCUACACCCCUGCCUGCUACUCCUGGACAAGGCUCUCCGAAAUCACUGGUUCCAGCAUCUCCUAAUCUGCAAAGAGAUGCAUCAACUCCGAGUGGACCCACAGAAAGAACUAUUGUGCCAUCCUUGCAGUCAAAUGUUUUGCCAAGACGCCCUGGAUCCCCUGCUACUUCGGUGCCUGGCAUGGGUCUUCAUCCUCCAGGACCUCCAUUAGCAAGACCCAUUCUUCCUCGAGAAAGAGGAGUUCUGGAUAGAGUUAUUGAAUAUUUGGUUGGUGAUGGUCCUCAGAACAGGUAUGCCCUUAUAUGUCAGCAAUGUUUCUCUCAUAACGGUAUGGCUUUGAAGGAGGAGUUUGAAUACAUAGCAUUUAGGUGUGCCUACUGCUUUUUUCUGAAUCCUGCAAGAAAAACUAGACCUCAGGCUCCAAGACUUCCAGAAUUCAGUUUUGAAAAGAAGCCAUCUACAGAAUCAGGGUCCGAAACUGAGGCUCUAGAACCUAGAGAGAGAAAGCCCCAGGAGACUCGGCAGACAGAAGAAUCUGAAGAAGAAAGGACGCAUGUCAUUGAGACAAAUGAGAUGGAUGAUAAAGCCCCAAGUCCUGAGCUGCUAAAUGAUAACCUAGCUGAAGAAGUUGAAAAAGAAGAAACAGAAAAUGUUUCAACAACAGAAGACUCUGUUUCAGAGUGUAUUUCAGCUGAACAAAGUGAAGACUCUUUAAAGAAAACAGAAUAACGUACUUCAAGUGCCUUCUGUAGCUAGUUUUUAGCUUUGUUCAUGCCUGUUGUUACUAUUCAGAGAUGCUGGAUUUAUAGAAAACUCAAGCAACAAAGACCUUCCAGCUCUCCUGAAAUGGUCUGUCCUCUUAAUUCGUUGCAUCACUUCAAGGAGUUCUACACAGUUGACAGAACUUAUUUUUUACUUGUUCAGCACACAAAGAAAAAAGCUUUCCAGAAGCACCAAGGAAAUUCAUUUUGAGAAAACUGUUUUAAAUGAUGUUUUAGAAGAAAUGUGGAAGUUGGUAUUUGUUAAGGAAUGGUUGGACUUGUAUUUUUUUUGUCAAGCUUUAUUUAAACAGGAGAUCCUGUAUAUUUAUGGUUUAAGUUCUUAUUGUUGUGAUAACCUUUUUACAUUAGUAAAGGGUAUAUAUAUUUAUGUACUAUAAAUAUUACAUUAUCUUUAAUAAGAAGUAUGAUUUAAUCCUAGCUGUGGUCUUGACUGGUAGUUAUGUUGCCUCCAUUAAAAUCAAAGGCGAAGACAUUAAUUAGUUUGAAUUCCUAGGGUCUACUAGACUUGUUGAAAUGUCUGUCCUAGUUUUUCUGCUUGUAAUUGAGAAAAUAUUUAAACUUGUGCUCACUUUUUGAAGUUUACUAUUUUACCAAAUUUUUAAGAGUAUAGCUUGACGUUUGAAUAUCUGCUGCCUUUGCUAUGUAUGUGACUUCUUAAGGAAAAUCUGGAUUCUGAGAAAGCUACUGAAUAUUCAUCUGAUCUGGAUUAUGAUGAUGGCUGAGAUAAGAGUCAGGCUGCUCUUUGUUUUACAGUUUUAAGGUGUUCAUUCUGUUCAGUAAUUCAUUCUGUGCUGGCUGUACUCAGUCAAGCUGGAUUUCAUAGAUAUUGUUUUUAAGGGAUCUCAUGUGUUACCAGAAAAAGGAUGAGGGUUCCUCACCUUCUUCAGUGCAGCCCCCGCCCUGCAGUUGGACUGGCAUGUGUAGGAAAAGAAAGCUGUUCAAGGUUGAGUAGGUUCUGAUAAGACCCAUUUAUCUGUGCUGCAAUCAAUUGUGAGAACUCCUGGCUCAUGGCACGAACGCCCAGCUACCCACCCUCAAAGGUCAGGCUGGCAUACGACUGUGAAAUUUUGUGUGUGCACUGAAGUAGAGGCAUGGAAAACCUGCCUUGAAUUGGUAUAAAAAUUGUGUAGUAACUUCAGAGGGGACUGUGGAGUUGUGAGGAUGCUCAUUUUGGCCUGCGAUCCCAUAGACACGUGUCUCGGGGUGGGUAUUACAGGUUUUAUUGUAUCUAAAUGGUGAUUUAUGUCCUUAUGCCUGCAUUAUUGUCCACAAGGUACUGCCCUGUGUCACAGGCCUGUAUUACCUAAUUUUUUCAGACUGUUUCAUUUUCAUUAGUACAGCUGCUUUAGCUUGUGAUCAGUGUCCUGCACCUCAUUGAUAAUCUAAGAGAGUAUUAGAUGCACAGAAGUGACACCUAACCCUGUCAGUCUGGCUUGAUUGACCCCUCAGCUUCCGAAACAUGAAUUCAUUUUUUUUUAAAACCCAAGUUAGCCCGACAUCCAUUUUCACACACAUUCUGGGCAGUUUAAAGGUUGGUCGGAAUUGAAUAUUGCUCUUUCAAAUUUGAUAAUGUAUGAGUACAGAACUGUGACCUUUGAUACGUAGUAAUACAUCAACAUGACACGAGCAGUAAGUGCAGCAAUUACCUUUACUACACUUGAGAUUGUGUUUUAGUUCUCGUCUUGUAAGCAAUUAUUUCAGAAAAAAAAAAAGGAUAUCGCUAAGUUAAAUAUGUUUUGCAAAUAGCGUAAAUGCAGAAAUUAAUGUUUGGGGACUUUUUGAUUUACAGGUGAAUGUUUUCAAAUGAAUGUUGGCUUUUAAAUUAAUAUUGGUUCAGUAGUAAAAUGAAGUCUUGUGCCACUGGCUUCUUUUAUGAUAUCUUCUUCUGGGAGAGUUUCUUUAACCCUUUUUUGUUGUGUUCUGUAGUCGAAGUUUCAUAUCCUGAUUUGUAGCUGAAGCCUAAUCCUGAAAGCAGUUGAUGUGUCGCUGUUUCUUGUUCGCAUGAUAAUACUCGAAAGAGUUGGUUACAUGCAUGAUAAUGAUGCAAGUUUACAUGCUUUCAAGUGCCUUUCAGAACAUAUGAGAGUCUCAGACCUGCACCAUGUAUUGAUUCAAAAGGCUGUUUUUGGUUUGGUUUAGUUUCCAAGCCUUCUUCCUCACCUGUUAUAAAUUAUUUGACUAAUGCUAGUGCACAACCACUAACUGGUAGGCACUAUAAAAACACAAAUCCAUACUCCUUGCCAAAGAGCAUAAAGCCUCGAGAGGACUGAUAUCAGCUGUGGCUUCUGUUCUGUGGACUAAAAAUCAGAAUAAAAUUACUGUGUCAUUCUGAGCAAGCAAUUGAGUAACCACUGAAUGGUGACUUUCUGUCAAUGCUGUCUGUCAUGACCAAACCUCGGGGGAAUAACUUGGAGUAGAACUUGUUCUUCUAAAAUAUCUGCUUCCUCAGCAGCUGGGCACUGGGCAGUGUCGGUGUGCUGGAGUUAAGCACUGAGCUUAAUUCAGGAUCUGGGAAAAUGCUUAUUUUGUUUUAUAAUGAGGUGAAAACACCUUUUGAAGUGCAUUUCUUUAAGCACUCAGUCUGAACCCCUCGGCCCCGGUAAUGUCUGGCUGUAUGGGGGCCCUUGUGCAGGAGACAGAUGACCCAAGCUGCUGAUGUGGUUUGGGGACUGAAUGGAGCCCAUCUCUCCGAAAUCUGCCGUGAAGAGAGGAGUGAGUGGUUUCUCUAGAGCAGCUUUCUUGAAAUCCUGGCUGUGGACUCAUUUGCUGUAUGUACACACGAGUUGUAGGCUCAUAAUAAGCCUAAAAAUUUCUGUAAUGAAAGAUUUGUCAAAAUGGAAGGGCACUUCUAGCAGAUUUUCUCACUAUUCUAGCAACAGUUAGAAAAUUCUUGACUAUUUGUGGUGGUGUUUGUUCUCUCGGAGGAAACGCAAGAUAAAUACAUCAGAUCAUUAUGUAAAUGACUCCUAAUCAAGCUCUUGGCUAUGCAGACUGUUUUGUAAAGCUACAAGGAAGGCACUACCUCAGGAAAUUGUGCAAACAUACUCCUGUGUGGCUCCUUGUGGCUUUCAACCUGUGCUCUGUAAGAGCACUUGGGCCCUUAACUACUUCCAAAUAAAGUCCUCAAGCGUUUUUGCAUUGUUUUGUUAAAUAGCAAAUGUUAAUAGUACUUAGUCUGGAAAAAGUACCCAGCCUAUUUUUGUGUGAUGUUUUCUAUUAAAAAAUGUAAAUGGCAUGUAUACGGAAAUGUUAAGUCUCAGCUGCUGACAGUGGGUGAAGGUGGUUACAACAGCUCACUGUGGAAGUUUGUUUUUCAACUGGGCUCUGUGUUUGCAGUCAGUUCCUUACGGCGAAAGGCUGCCCUUAUGCCAGUAGGUGACUCCAUGGGUAGACAAGAGCUGGGCUGCAAGUAACAACAGCAAAAAUAACGGCAGCUGCUGUGUCGUUGCAUGUCAGUGUUUGUUGCUUUUUUUUUUUUAUUUGCUUAUACUGAAUUUAUUACAUUUGGUAACAACUUAGCAUUUUUAGUUCUCCUCUGCAUUGUACAACCAUUAUUCUCUGUAUUGUAUCAACCAUCAUUUUAAAAGAACUGUCAACACUGGUAUUCCCCAACAGUAGAAUCUCUUUUAUAAUAUCUGGAAAAUAUUUCCUUUCAUAUUUUGUAGAAGGGAGUGAAGGUAAUUUUUUCACUGUUCCUUCUACAGCAAUAUGACUAGAAGUAUCUUUAAAAAAUGCUAAGAGUUUUUGUUUAUUUCAGCUAUUUGGUGAUGUCUGUGUGUUGCUGAGGCUUUUUAAAAAAAAGGUGGUGAAUGAUAGCCUGGUUGCAGAAUGUAUUUUCUUUUUAAGGCGUAUCUUAAAACUUAGUGGUUUGCAAGGGAGAAAUCCUUGUGGAAGGAGUUUGAAUUAUUGAACAAAUGGUGGGCAGUUGAAAUUUAGGGAUACUUAACGGAAAGUACUCGACUAAGACUGUGUGCAACUUAUUUGUGAGUACUCCUGUUAUACUGUAAUAAGGUGUUACAUUCAUCCAGUCACGAAGUCUGAUGUAUUUGAUUUUAAGAUUUCUGAUUGUGUUAUGAGUAAGUGUAAUGAUUCUGAGAGCUGGAAUAUUGUCAGCCAUUGUGAAUACUACUGAAGGAGUCUCAAGAUGUAUAGUGUGAUAGAUGCAAUUUUGUUUGAUUUUUUUUUUUCCAAGGUCAAUUUAAUUUUGAUUUAUUUGCCUCAUUAACCCAAGGAUUCAGAAAAUUGAAUGCCACCUGAGUGAGGUAUUAUUAACGCUAGUGAAAUAUCUCCAAAAUUGCUCCAUGCUUAUAAAUUGGUCUUUUGAAAGCAUUUUAAAGGCAUAAUGAUACUGUAGUGAAAAUGUACAGCAUCAUUUAAAAACUGCAAAAUGCUUAUUUGAUUUCUGAAAUAAGACUUGGUCACCUGACUUAAAUGUAUACUGAUCUAUUAUUUAUGCUUUGAAAAUAGAGCUGAUAAAAAACAUAAGUGUUCUUGAUAUUAUAUUUUGUCAUAUCUAGCGAAAAAGAUUGAAAUCCAGAGAAACAAUUUUCUGAAGAAAUGAAAUAGUAUGCCCUCCUGAACCCCUGGGGAAAAUAGCCUCUCUGUUUGCUCAGAAUAUGAAGCAGUAAAAUAGUAUAAGUAAAACAGACAGCCUAUGUCACAUUCCUAUUUGUACAGUCUGGAAUGAUGUUUUAAAAACAUUUUCUAGUUAUUUUUGAUAAAUAAAUGGUGCAAAUAACAUCUGCAAACCAACCCUGCUGAUGUAAGAUUUUUCAGAUCAGAUUUGUUUGUCAGUGAAAGUUAGAAAAUUGCUUUGCAAAACUAAAGUUGUAUAACUCACAAAUAUAUGCAUAACAAAUGUACAAGAAUAUAUCUUGCUCUCUUUUGCCUUCCUUCAAAGAAGCUAAUGCUGAUUCUCCAUUAUCUUUGCUGGGCUCUAACUGUAGCUUGUUAAAAGUAUCAAAUAUAAAAAACCUCGGUUGCUAAGCAUAGAUGUGUUUAUAAGGUGUUAAAUAGCUGAACAGUCACAGUGAUAGUGGGGCAUCCAGCUACCAUUUUGGAACGGCGUAUCCUGUUUAACGCCUCUAGAAUUACCACUGAGCCAUUCGUGCCCCACUGAAAAUUAAGCUUAAGGGCUAUAGGAACCUUCCACAGGUGACACAUCUGUGGUCCAGUGGUGUAAAGGAAAUAAGUGUGUUGAGUGGCUGUUGCUUUCUGCAGAUUCUGCCAAAGGAUGGCAUGCUGAGCAUGAAGGCAAGUUUCUCUGAGUCUUGUGGCUUACAGAAGUGAACAUACUGUAAAGAUGCUGAUGACAUUAAUUUCUUUCACCGAUGUAAAACUGGAGAUGGCAAAAAAUUCCCUGGGCAGCUGGGUUGAGAAAUCGGAUGUCAUGAAGCUACAAAUGCCUUGUUUCCCAGGACUGGCUGAGGAAGUGUGUGUCUGUACAUCUCAUAACAUUGCUUGUCGAGUGCGUGGGCUUUCAGCUGCAUUGGAGCAAUGUAUGUCUUCAAGAGUCUCUUGUGCUUAAGACUUCUGUUCUCCACAGAGUUGGUUAAAACCAACUUUAAUGAUAUUUUUGUAAGGAUUCUCAGUCAAUGGACUCCAUCUCAGGCUACAUCCUGUGAUACGUCCACAGAGUACAAAAUGCAUGUAUUUUGUAAAUAUAUGUGUGUUUAAUAGUGACAACCCCCCCCACUUGUUUUUAUUUUCCAGUCUAUACACAGAUCAUGAUUUAAUAAACUCUUCCCUCUGAGGUUAUGCAACACUGGAAUGUUACCUUAUAUUUUAUUUUAAUACCUGAACAAAAAAUAGGGUUUAUUGGACUAAUAGGAUUUGAGUGGAUCUCUCUUCAUUGACUGAAAGUGUUGGAUAGAAGUUUUUUGUCAGGGUCAGGGCUAGAAUUCUAGAAAAGUGUGGUAUUUUUUUGUUGUUGCAGUUCACUGUUGUGUAUAAUGGUGGUGAUAAGUGAGAACAUGACACUGAAUAAUCUGAAUGGAUACUUCUGUACAGCAAAUACAAGAAGGAAUGAACAUGCUUAUAUUAAGUCCUAAAAAAUUAAAGUGUUACUAAUCCACCCAAGAUUCAUUUUUGGUUUCUCUUUGGCAGAAGGCUCAAGUGCUUCAAUACAGCAUGAUUUCUCUACCAGUAGUAUUUCAUUUCUUAAUGAUAAAAACAUUAUGUAUAGCCAUGAAGGAAUAUCACCAUGAUUUUAUAGAACCUGACUUUAUUGCAUCAUUUAUUUCCUCCGUAAUCUUGUGCUUAUGUGGUAUUUG